GUGGGGGAAAGGAACCGGAAACUGGAUGGGGAGCUGGACCAGGUGACAGCGGCAUGGACAUAUGCCCCAGGCUUUCCUGCUGGGGUCCAUCCAUGAGCCUGCAGGUGCCCUGAUGGAGCCCCAGCCCUGCCCUGGAAGCUUGGCUGAGAGCUUCCUGGAGGAGGAGCUUCGGCUCAAUGCUGAGCUGAGCCAGCUGCAGUUUUCGGAGCCUGUGGGCAUCAUCUACAAUCCCGUGGAGUAUGCAUGGGAGCCACAUCGCAACUACGUGACUCGCUACUGCCAGGGCCCCAAGGAAGUACUCUUCCUGGGCAUGAACCCUGGACCUUUUGGCAUGGCCCAGACUGGGGUAAAGGGUUUGGCUUCCCCAGUGGGUGGAGUGGGGGGUUCUAGGUGGAUGCUUGGCUGGGUGUGCUGUGGAGAAGGAGCAUGUGCAUGGCUGUAGACAUGUGUAGGUCCUCCCGCCCCAUUCUGUCUCAACACAUAUACUGGCUCCUGUGGUCCGAGGCCCUCUCCCAGCGUCUCUGCCCAUAAUUAACCAAGCACAUUUAUGGUAGUUUCGUUUUCCCUGUGAGCUGGCCACUAAUU
rnacentral:sRNA from 1 species